rnacentral:rRNA from 1 species
CCCUUGAAAGAACUAACAAGGAUUCCCCUAGUAACUGCGAGUGAAGCGGGAUGAGCUCAAAUUUGAAAUCUGGCAGUGUAACAGCUGUCCGAGUUGUAAUUUAGAGAAGUGUUUUCUGUGCCAGACCGUGUACAAGUCUCCUGGAAUGGGGCCGUCAUAGAGGGUGAGAAUCCCGUCUUUGACACGGCUCUCUACUGGUGCUAUGUGAUACACUCUCAAAGAGUCGAGUUGUUUGGGAAUGCAGCUCAAAAUGGGUGGUGAACUCCAUCUAAAGCUAAAUAUUGGCGAGAGACCGAUAGCGAACAAGUACCGUGAGGGAAAGAUGAAAAGCACUUUGGAAAGAGAGUGAAACAGUACCUGAAAUUGCUGAAAGGGAAACGAUUGAAGUCAGUCACAUUUGCUAGAAAUCAACCCUUUUCUGGGUGAUUUCUAGUGAAUGGGNCAGCUUACCUUUUGGCCAUUGGAAAAGGCCGGAAGAAUGUGGCACUCUUUAUUAGGGUGUGUAUAGCCUCUCUUUGUCAUAUACAGUGGGUUCAGAAGUGAGAAUGCCUUUGUUGUAGGAUGCUGGCAUAAUGGCUUUAAACGACCCGUCUUGAAACACGGACCAAGGAGUCUAACAUGCAUGCAAGUGUUUGGGUGGUCAAAACCCAUGCGCGUAAUGAAAGUGAAGAGUUGGGAAGGCUGUCAUGGCCUGCACCGAUGCCCGGACUUGAGAUUUAUCGACGGUUCUGCGGUCGAGCAUGUAUGUUAGGACCCGAAAGAUGGUGAACUAUGCCUGAAUAGGGUGAAGCCAGAGGAAACUCUGGUGGAGGCUCGUAGCGAUUCUGACGUGCAAAUCGAUCGUCAAAUUUGGGUAUAGGGGCGAAAGACUAAUCGAACCAUC